rnacentral:misc_RNA from 1 species
CUCCCGGCCCUCUCCCGUCCGCGGGUGGGGCGCCCGCCGGAGGAUAACCAAACUCUGAUUUAACGACGUUUCUUCUGAGUGACACAAGCAAAUAAUCAAAACUUUUAACAACGGAUCUCUUGGUUCUGGCAUCGAUGAAGAACGCAGCGAAAUGCGAUAAGUAAUGUGAAUUGCAGAAUUCAGUGAAUCAUCGAAUCUUUGAACGCACAUUGCGCCCGCCAGCAUUCUGGCGGGCAUGCCUGUUCGAGCGUCCUUUCAACCCUCAAGCUCUGCUUGGGGUUGGGGAUCUACGGUUGAAAAUAAGCCCUCAAAGGGAGUGGCGGGCCCCCCGGGGACCCCCCCCCUUGGAUAAGAAAAAGUCCGGGCGAACUUUGUUUUUUGGGGAGGACCCUCCCCCCCACAAACCCCCAGUUUAGGUUAGGGUUCCAAAAGGGUAGAUGAGGGGGAAACCCCGUUGAGACUCCUCCGGAGGUACCCCGAAGA